CAAUGCGAGAAAUGGAAUCCAGGGCCCAACCUAACAUCCAAACCCAUCUCCUCUUCAUCGCAUCUUUUCAAACCAGUCUUGUUUUGAGAAAGGAGACGACUAGACCAGGCUAGCUUGAAAUCCCCGGUAUCCGAGUACGCACUGCGGCUUGUGCUACAGUCAACACCCUAUGGCCCCCACAGCAAGCGCAGCGCUGAGCAUAAGGACCCAGAAGUCGUCCAUCCGGCCAGAAAACGUUAAUACUUCCGGGUCACAGACAAAGGCCACAGUCAAGUUGUGGCGGCAUCUUUGAACUUGGCUUAGCAGUGUGUGCGUUGCUUGCGGCCUUCACGAUAAUCAUCCGUCUGAGGAGAUUCAGCAGCGGUUUCCUUAUCGCUCUGUUUCACCUUGAGAAAAGCCCCCUGGUUCCACGAAACUGAGUCGCCAUCAGCCUUCUUCCA
rnacentral:lncRNA from 1 species